rnacentral:rRNA from 1 species
AAUACACUUUAAUUUAAUGAAAAAAUUAAUUAAUGAUGAACUAUCAUGGAAUUUUUUAUUUUUUAUCCAGUUAGUAAUAUUGAACUAUUUUCAAAAGAAAAAUUCAGUUCUCUUUUUCAAACAGACAAAUUAGGUGCCAGCAGUCGCGGUCAUACCUAAUGUUAAAAUUUUUUUUAGAUAAUUUUUUUUUAAAAAUAAUUUUUUUAUUAGUAAAAUAUAAAAAAAUUAUUAUUUAUUUUAAAAAAUAAUUAAUAAAACUCUUAAUAAAAAACUAGGAUUAGAUACCCUAUUAUUUUAGAACUCAUCAUAUUAUCUAAGCACUAAAAUAUUAAUAUUAAGACUUAAACAUAUGCUACACUAUGACCUGUUAUUUAUAAUAAUAAUUAUUUGUGAUUUCUCUUCAAGAGAAAUCACAACGGCAAUAUAUAAGCUGUUAGUUAAAAGUUGAGUCACUUGAGGGUUAUCAAUAAUAUUUUUUUUCGGAUAGAAAAUUAAUAAUUUUCUUUAAGAUGGACUUAAAAGUAAUAUAAAAAUAUAUAUAAUAUGAAUUUCCUUUGAUUUGUGCACAAAUCGCCCGUCAUUCUCCUUAUUUUUUUUAAAGGAGACAAGUCGUAACAUAGUAGAGGUAACUGAAGUUGUCUCUU